rfam:Chlorocebus sabaeus isolate 1994-021 chromosome 1, whole genome shotgun sequence.
CAGUGUUACAGCUUUUUAAGAAUUUGUCCAGCAGACUUUCUUGUUUUUACUGGAAGCCUCCCU